GGCGUAGGUGGUCCUUCAAGUCUGAUGUGAAAUCUCCCGGCUUAACUGGGAGGGUGCAUUAGAAACUGCUGGACUAGAGUGCAUCAGAGGAAGAUGGAAUUCCCGGUGUAGUGGUGAAAUGCGUAGAUAUCGGGAGGAACACUAGUGGCGAAGGCGGUCUUCUGGGAUGUAACUGACACUGAGGUCCGAAGGCGUGGGUAGCAAACA
rnacentral:rRNA from 1 species